UACGGGGGGAGCAAGCGUUGUUCGGAUUUACUGGGCGUAAAGGGCGCGUAGGCGGCGUAACAAGUCACUUGUGAAAUCUCCGGGCUUAACUCGGAACGGUCAAGUGAUACUGUCGUGCUAGAGUACAGAAGGGGCAACUGGAAUUCUCGGUGUAGCGGUGAAAUGCGUAGAUAUCGAGAGGAACACCUGCGGCGAAGGCGGGUUGCUGGGCUGAUACUGACGCUGAGGCGCGAAAGCUAGGGGGAGCGAACAGG
rnacentral:rRNA from 1 species